rnacentral:tRNA from 1 species
GGGCCCGUAGCUCAGCCAGGACUAGAGCGUCGGGCUUCGGACCCGGAGGUCCCGGGUUCAAAUCCCGGCGGGCCCGCCA